rnacentral:rRNA from 1 species
GACGAACCGUCCAAACGUUUAUUCGGAAUCACUGGGCUUACAGAGUUCGUAGGCGGUCUGGAAAGUUGGGUGUGAAAUCCCUCGGCCUAACCGAGGAACUGCGCUUGAAACUACCAGACUCGAGGGAGAUAGAGGAAAGCGGAACUGAUGGUGGAGCGGUGAAAUGCGUUGAUAUCAUCAGGAACACCGGUGGCGAAGGCGGCUUUCUGGGUCUUACCUGACGCUGAGGAACGAAAGCCAGGGGAGCGAACGGG